rnacentral:lncRNA from 1 species
CGACAGUGAGAGAGCAUGGUUUCGAUCAGAUCGAUCAAGAGGUCAGUAUAAUCGAAUUAUGAUUGUUUUUUAGAUAGUAUCUUAGCAUUCAAAUACACUUAACAUUGAAUAAUAUAAUAUAUCUGAUAUUCAAACAAAAAAUUAAAGAGCAAUUUUGUUUAGAAAUUUUUCUUCUUUUUCUUUCAAUGAAAUUUUUGUGAUUCUCAAAAAUCUAGGUCAAUCAAAUGUAAACAAGACAGACAGAGAAUCAAAUUUCUAAAAUUUUUCUUUGAAGUUUUCUCAAAAAGGAAUUUUCCGGAUGAUAUAAAAUUUGUGUAUUAAUUUCGUUUUUUAGGACUGACAUCAUAUUCACAUAUUUGGUUCUCUUUUCUGAUAAAUAAAAGCAUUUAUAAAUCACAAAGCAAACAAUUGUUAUAAUAUGAUUAAGUACAUAAUAUUCCACAUCUUCAAUUUUGUACCCUGUUACAAGAUUUUUCAGACAAAAAACAUGUUGACCAAUAUUAAGAUCCAUAAAUAUUUGGUGUAAUAAUUUCCAAUAAUUUUUUACCCAUGUGCAUUCAAAGAAAAAAUGAUUAUAGCUAUCAGAUUUGAAACAUAGCUCACAGUUUUCACUAUUAAUUACCUUCCAGCGAUACAGAUUAUGGUUAAUAGCUAAAAUAUUAUGCAGUAGUUUCCAUCUAAACAUUUUUAAUCUAUUAUCUUUUAAAAAAAGAAAGGUAAAAGAUAGAUUUUUCUUAAUGAAAUAUAUGACAUUUUCGCCUGAAAGUUGUUUUUUCCAUGAGCAAAAACCUACUGGAAGCUCUUUAUUUGACCUGAUUAUAAUAUUAUAAAUUUCUUUAAACUUAAUUUUAUCUAGAUUGUAAUACAAUCCAUUACAAAACAUUUUAAUGUCUUGUGUUAUGUUGAUUUUAGUAUGUUUUGAUAUAUUGCUCUUUAAUUUUUGGAUCCAAAUUUUGGGUAAAGCUUUUCGAAGAGAAAUGAAUUCAGCGAUCCAAUUUUGUUUCUUUUUAAGUUUAUCUAAUAUUUUAUGAGAAAUUUCUCCUUUAUCGUCAACAACAUCAUUAACAAAAAUUAUGUUUUCCUUUACCCAAUGACUAUAAUAUAAACUUUUGCCACAUGUUUUUAUAUUGGUUUCCCCAAAUAACUUGCUUUCUUAUUUCCCUAUAAUUAUCAGGUACUUUUGUCUUCCCUCCUCCAUUUUUAAUCCAACAUUUCAAAAUUUCAAAGUAAAAUGUAGGUAAGUUUUUAAGGUUAUCUAGUGACUUAUGAGAAUUAAGAUUCAUUUUAAAUAUUAAAUUAUUUUCCCCAAACUCUCUAAGAUAAAAAGUAGGUAUGAUUUUCCAGUUAGCGCAAGUUUCAUCAGUUAAUCUUUUAACCCAAUUUAUUUUAAUAGCUUCGAUGUAUGCAUCAAGAUCUGUCAUUUUUAAUCCCCCUUCACUAUAAUCUUUUCUUAACACUGAGCGUUUAACUUUCUCGCUACCACCCUCCCAUAAAAAAUUAAAUAAGAUUUUUUUAAAUUGACUUAUAAUUUCACUGCUCAGAUUUAUCAAUGAAGCAACAUAUGUUAUAUUGGGAAUAACUAGUGUUUUAAUUAUAGUUAUUUUUCCUAUCAUACUCAGUUUUCUUUUCUUCCAAUCAUUUAGUAUCCUUUCUGAUUUUUCAAACUGUCUAUCUAUAUUAAGUGUUUAACAUUCUUUUUUGUUAAGGCCAAAAUAAAUGCCAAGACUUUUCACCUUAUCUUUCCAAUUUAUACUUUCAAAUUUGUCUUUGCAGUGUUUUAGUUUGCCUAACCAUAUACCUUCUGUUUUGUUUCUAUUAAGUUUAAGUCCUGAAAAAGAUCCAAAAGUUUCUAUUAAAUUAAGUGCAUGUUUUAUUUCAUUUUUAGAUCUUAAAAAGAGAGUUGUAUCAUCUGCUAGCUGUGAGAUUUUUAGGCUAUGAGUUUUUUUAUCAAUUUUUAUUUGUAACCCUUUCAGAUCAUUAUUAUUUCUUAUUCUACAAGCCAGUAUUUCAACAGAUAAAACAAACAGUAGCGCGCUUAAAGGGCAUCCUUGUCGAAUUCCCCAUUGAAUCCCGAAGGUUUCAGAAAUCCAUCCGUUAUUUAAAAUACAUCCUUUUAUACCACAAUAAAGUGUUUUGACCCACUUAUAAAAAGACUUGUUAAAUCCAAAUUUUUUUUAAUGUUUCCAGCAUGAAGUCCCAUUCAAGUGAAUCGAAUGCUUUAGAAAAAUCAAUAAAUAGUAUAGCUCCAUCAAUAUUAAAGUUUUCAGCAUAAUCUAUAAUAUCUUGAAUUUGGCGUACGUUGAAUCCUAUAUAUCGAUUUUUAACGUAACCAUUUUGAUCUCUAUUAUAAUUAGGGGUAAGAUUUUUUUUAGUCUUUGUGCUAAGGUAUAUGUAAUAAGUUUUACAUCAGUAUUCAACAAAGUAAUUGGACGGUAAUUAUCUAAGGACAAAGGCUCAAUUUUUUUGAAAAUCAAUGAUAUUAUCCCAAUCUUUUGGGUCUCAGAUAAAGUUUCAUUAUCAUAACAUGCGUUAGAAACAUUCAAUACAAUAUGCUUUAAAUUUGGCCAAAAUUGUCGAUAAAACUCAACUGUUAAGCCAUCUUUGCAUUGCCUGGAGUCUUAUUUAGUUUCAUAUUAUAAAUAGAAGAUGUUAGCUCUUCUAAGGUUAAUUUACCAUCCACUUGUUUGCUUUCACAAGGAUUUAAAGAAUGAUCAAUGGGGGUAUUUUCUAUGUAUGUCUUUAGAAUUUCAGUUUCGGGACAUGUACUUUUGUACAGAGAUUUAUAAUACUCUUUACUUACAUCUAAUAUUUCACUUUGAUCAACAGUAACCUCACCGGUUUUGGUCAUUAAUUUAUUUUUUAGCCUGUCUAUUCUUUUCUAGGGAUAAAAAGUACUUAGUAUUUUUUUCCCCAUCCUCUACCCAUUUUAUUCUUGAUCUAACUUGGGCUUCUUUGGCUUUAAAAGAGUAAAUCUCUUCUAAAUCUUUUUCUAAAUUUUUUAUUUGAUUAAAAAGUUCAUUAUUUUUCCUAUCAGGUAAUUUGUCCAAUCUUUCAUUUAAAAGAUUUAGUUUGUUUUCCAUUAUUAAAAUGUUAUUUUUCCUUUCUUUGGCUUUAGAUUUACAGUAUUGGAUAGUAGACUCUCUUAUGUCAGUUUUUAGCAGGUCCCACUGAUUACGGACAUUUGUAAGAUCAAAAUUUUGCUCAUACUUUUCAAUUAACUUAUUUAUUAGUUUAUUAUACUGAGUAUCAGUCAAUAUACUAUUAUUCAUUUUAAAAUAUCCUUCACCCCGAUUGUUUGCAUAAAUGUCUAAUUUAAUUGAAAUAGCCAGGUGAUCUGUGAAUGAAAUUUGUGCAGGCCUGAUAUCAGCAGAUACAGUGUUUAUGCGUGCUUGUGUGCAUAUUAUAAAAAAGUCUAUUCUACUAGCUUCAUUUGUAGAAUUUUUCCUUUUCCAUGUGUAUUGUUUUUUAUCUUUAUUUAAUUGUCUCCAAAUGUCUAUCAAUUUAUGUGUUUUAAUUAAUUGUUUUAAACCAUUGACUGGCUUUUUAAACUUUUUAUGUAGUUUAUUAUUCUUUGUAUCUAUAGUUGAGAGUAGAUCAUUCAUAACUCCCCCUACUAUUAGAGCACCAAGAGUGUGUUCUUCAAUUAAUUUACUUACUUUUUUAUAAAAUUGGUUUCUUGCAUGAACUUCAUUAGGUGCAUACAAGUUUACUGAGGUGAAAAUCUUAUCUUGAAUUUCUAUAUUGAUUAUAAUAAUUCUCCCUUCUCUAUCACAAAAUUCAUUAAUUAAUUUAAAGUCAAGUGAUUUAUUAAUAAAGUAAGACAUCCCCCUUGAAUUUGUUGUGCCUAGGCUAUGAAGAUGUUUGCCGUUAAAUUCAUUGUUAAUUUGCUUUAUCAUAUCUUUUGACAAGUGAGUUUCUUGUGCCAUUAAAAUGUCGCAUUUUUGUUGUUGAAACCAAGAGAAUAAUCUAAAACGUUUUUCCUUUCUCGCUAAACCUUGACAAUUAAGUGAGCAAAUGUGAAAGUUUUUUGUUUUCAUUAUAGUAUUAAAGAAGUUCAAUUAUUAAUCUCUUAAACGAUUUAUUUAAAUCUAUCAAUUUAUAUAAACUUGUUCUAUGUAUCGUGACCCAGAUAAACACCAAGUUAUUUUUAGACCUAUAAAUAGCACAGGUAAAGUUAAUUUCUAUUUUUAGUUUAAUUACUGACUUUCCGAAAACGUCUGGUAUUUUGUAAACAUUAACGUUAUCACAUACUGUAAUUUUGAUAGCGCGAGUGGUUCUUGUGUAUUUACAACUUUUAUUUUCUUUUACAGAUAUGGAAUUAAUCGUACCACUGAAUGUUGUUAGCCAAAUGACUUUACUUGAAGUGCUAAAUUCUUGAAAUAUGUGCACACCGAAAAAGUGUGUGAUAUUUAAGUUCAAGAACAGGAGGAUAUUUUUAUCUGUUUCUCUGAUGUUUAGCAAAAUUAACUGUGUAGAAAUAUGUUCGUAUCUUGAAGAAAGGAACAUCUGAAGAUUGUCAUUUACCGAAACUGUACUCUUAUAAUUAAAGAAGACUGGCUGUUUUUUACUUGUUUUGAAGAAUAUCUUUUGACAAAGGAUUAAUGUGUGCCUAUGAACAAAUUUUAGAUGACUAUGUGAAGUAAAUGUGAUUUUUUUUCCCAUGGUGACUCUGCAUUUCAUUAAUUUAGUGCUCCAACCAAUGAAGCAAUUUUCAUUUGUUUUAGAUGUGCGUGGGACGAUUUUUUUUAUCCAAGCAGAUUUACCAACUUUAAAUUCAUAGUCUAUACAUAUUUCAUUUACAAAUAAUUUCAUAUGUGCCGUAUUUACUACAUUUUUAAAUAAAC